rnacentral:rRNA from 1 species
CGUGUAGGCGGCCAAACAGGUCCGUUGUGAAAACUGGAGGCUCAACCUCCAGACGUCGACGGAAACCGUAUGGCUAGAGUCCGGAAGAGGAGAGUGGAAUUCCUGGUGUAGCGGUGAAAUGCGCAGAUAUCAGGAAGAACACCUAUGGCGAAGGCAGCUCUCUGGGACGGUACUGACGCUGAGACGCGAAAGCGUGGGAGCGAACA